rnacentral:lncRNA from 1 species
GAGCCUCCUGCAGUGGAGGACGACGAAGGGGCGUGGCGCCGCCCCUCCUCAGUGGAGGACGAUGACAAGGAGAUGCCGACGGCGUGAGAUUCCAAUUGAGACUUGCAGCGGCGGCAAAGUGAGGGCACGUGGCGACAGCGGAUCGAAAGCCACGGCAGCAGAUCGGUGUGAGCAUCCAUCUUACUGUUCUCUCUCUUCAGCUUCCUCUCUCCUCGCUCAUCACAUACUUUCCGGUGUGCAUGUUAAAACUUCUGUUGUAGUGGACAUCAAGAUCAUGCAGCAACCACAGAUUUUUUUUGAAGCGCGCUCUACUUGGAUUUGACCUGUCUCUCUGGUGUUAGAUAAGCUAAGCGCUCACAUAUUCCUGCCAGAUCUAGAAGUAUUUUCUAUUGCACCCCAUGAGUUACUUUGAUCUGAUUAGUUGAGAUAUUAUGAAACUCGUGGUGACUAAGCAGUAUUGUUUUCCCGCAAAAAAUAAAGACUACGCAGUAUUAUUUUUGGACAGAAUGGUGGUUUCAGAGUAAUUACAAUGAUAGUAUGACACAUUGCUAUAUAAUCAAGUUUUAAUGUGCAUUAUUCAGUAGACCUGAGAUGACUUACAUAGAGAGAAACAUCUGAUACUGUAUUGUACUCACAAAUAUUUAAUUAUGGUU